CCUACGGGGGGCUGCAGUCGAGAAUCUUCGGCAAUGGGCGAAAGCCUGACCGAGCGACGCCGCGUGCGGGAUGAAGGUCUUCGGAUUGUAAACCGCUGUCGGGAGGGAUGAAGUGCACGGGGGCAAUCCCCUGUGUUUGACAGAGCUCCGGAGGAAGCACGGGCUAAGUUCGUGCCAGCAGCCGCGGUAAUACGAACUGUGCGAACGUUAUUCGGAAUCACUGGGCUUAAAGGGUGCGUAGGCGGCGCUGUAAGUCAGGUGUGAAAUCCCCCGGCUCAACCGGGGAAUGGCGCUUGAAACUGCAGUGCUUGAGUGAGGUAGGGGUGCAUGGAACUUCCGGUGGAGCGGUGAAAUGUGUAGAUAUCGGAAGGAACGCCGGCGGCGAAAGCGGUGCACUGGGCCUUGUCUGACGCUGAGGCACGAAAGCCAGGGUAGCGAACGGGAUUAGAUACCCUAGUAGUC
rnacentral:rRNA from 1 species